rnacentral:rRNA from 1 species
GAUGAACGCUGGCGGCGUGCCUAAUACAUGCAAGUCGAGCGAACGGACGAGAAGCUUGCUUCUCUGAUGUUAGCGGCGGACGGGAGUAACACGUGGAUAACCUACCUAUAAGACUGGGAUAACUUCGGGAAACCGUAGCUAAUACCGGAUAAUAUUUUGAACCGCAUGGUUCAAAAGUGAAAGACGGUCUUGCUGUCACUUAUAGAUGGAUCCCGGCUGCAUCAGCUAGUUGGUAAGGUAACGGCUUACCAAGGCAACGAUGCAUAGCCGACCUGAGAGGGUGAUAGGCCACACUGGAACUGGGACACGGUCCAGACGCCUACGGGAGGCAGCAGUAGGGAAUCUUCCGCAAUGGGCGAAAGCCUGACGGAGCAACGCCGCGUGAGUGAUGAAGGUCUUCGGAUCGUAAAACUCUGUUAUUAGGGAAGAACAUAUGUGUAAGUAAAUGUGCACAUCUUGACGGUACCUAAUCAGAAAGCCACGGCUAACUACGUG